rnacentral:rRNA from 1 species
UACGUAGGGUGCGAGCGUUGUCCGGAAUUACUGGGCGUAAAGCGCGUGUAGGCGGGUCGGCAAGUCAGGCGUGAAAUCCCCAGGCUCAACCUGGGAACUGCGCUUGAAACUGCCGGUCUUGAGUGUCGGAGAGGGUGGCGGAAUUCCUGGUGUAGAGGUGAAAUUCGUAGAUAUCAGGAGGAACACCGGUGGCGAAGGCGGCCACCUGGACGACAACUGACGCUGAGACGCGAAAGCGUGGGGAGCAAACAGG